GAUGAACGCUGGCGGCGUGCCUAAUACAUGCAAGUCGAGCGAACAGAUGAGGAGCUUGCUCCGCUGACGUUAGCGGCGGACGGGUGAGUAACACGUGGAUAACCUACCUAUAAGACUGGGAUAACUUCGGGAAACCGGAGCUAAUACCGGAUAAUAUAUUGAACCGCAUGGUUCAAUAGUGAAAGACGGUUUUGCUGUCACUUAUAGAUGGAUCCGCGCCGCAUUAGCUAGUUGGUAAGGUAACGGCUUACCAAGGCAACGAUGCGUAGCCGACCUGAGAGGGUGAUCGGCCACACUGGAACUGAGACACGGUCCAGACUCCUACGGGAGGCAGCAGUAGGGAAUCUUCCGCAAUGGGCGAAAGCCUGACGGAGCAACGCCGCGUGAGUGAUGAAGGUCUUCGGAUCGUAAAACUCUGUUAUUAGGGAAGAACAAAUGUGUAAGUAACUAUGCACGUCUUGACGGUACCUAAUCAGAAAGCCACGGCUAACUACGUG
rnacentral:rRNA from 1 species